rnacentral:rRNA from 1 species
UACGGAGGAUGCGAGCGUUAUCCGGAUUUAUUGGGUUUAAAGGGUGCGUAGGCGGUCCGGAAAGUCAGCGGUAAAAGCCAGGGGCUCAACCCCGGCGAGCCGUUGAAACUGUCGGACUAGAGACGGCGAGAAGUACGCGGAAUGCGCGGUGUAGCGGUGAAAUGCAUAGAUAUCGCGCAGAACUCCGAUUGCGAAGGCAGCGUACCGGCGCCGGACUGACGCUGAGGCACGAAAGCGUGGGUAUCGAACAGG